rnacentral:rRNA from 1 species
UACGUAGGUGGCGAGCGUUGUCCGGAUUUACUGGGCGUAAAGGGAGCGUAGGCGGACUUUUAAGUGAGAUGUGAAAUACCCGGGCUCAACUUGGGUGCUGCAUUUCAAACUGAAAGUCUAGAGUGCAGGAGAGGAAAAUGGAAUUCCUAGUGUAGCGGUGAAAUGCGUAGAGAUUAGGAAGAACACCAGUGGCGAAGGCGAUUCUCUGGACUGUAACUGACGCUAAGGCUCGAAAGCGUGGGGAGGCAAACAGGAUUAGAUACCCGCGUAGU